UACGUAGGUGGCGAGCGUUGUCCGGAUUUACUGGGCGUAAAGGGUUCGCAGGCGGCCUUGUAAGUCAGAUGUGAAAGACAGCGGCUUAACCGUUGUAAGCAUUUGAAACUGCAGGGCUUGAGUACAGGAGAGGAAAGCGGAAUUCCUAGUGUAGCGGUGAAAUGCGUAGAUAUUAGGAGGAACACCAGUGGCGAAGGCGGCUUUCUGGACUGAUACUGACGCUGAGGAACGAAAGCGUGGGGAGCAAACAGGAUUAGAUACCCCUGUAGU
rnacentral:rRNA from 1 species